AGCGCGGGUGCGAGUCGGAGGGUGCAAGCCCGUGGGCGAAGUGAAAGCGAGUUUUAAAAACUAGCAGUUUGGGGCGGCAUAAGAUCGUUGAUCUUAAGACCGACCCAGAGCAGUUGCGCUGGGACCCGAAAGAUGGUGAACUAUGCCGGAGUAGGGCAAAGCCAGAGGAAACUCUGGUGGAGGCUCGUAGCGGUGCUGACGUGCAAAUCGCUCGUCGAACUUGGGUAUAGGGGCGAAAGACUAAUCGAACCAUCUAGUAGCUGGUUCCCUCCGAAGUUUCUCUCAGGAUAGCGGGCCGACAAGUUGUUUUGUGCGGUAAAGCGAAUGAUUAGCGCAUUUCGGGGGCGUUUAGCCUUCGGGCGAUUCUCAAACUUUCAAUGCGCAAGGGUGCCGCUGCUUAAUUGAGCGGUACCGGUAAAAACGUCGGCCCUGUGGGCCACUUUUGGUAAGCAGAACUGGCGAUACGGGAUGAACCGUAAGCAAGGUUAAGGCGCCAAACUGCCCGCUUAUAGACCCCACAAAAGGUGUUGAUUCAUCGAGACAGCAGGACGGUGGCCAUGGAAGUCGGAAUCCGCCAAGGAGUGUGUAAAAACUCACCUGCCGAAUGAAUUAGCCCUGAAAAUGGAUGGCGCUGAAGCGGGCGGCCGACACCUUGCCGUCUGAACAAGAAUUUCAGAUGAGUAGGAGGGCGUGGCGGCCGUGUCGAAGCGCGCGUGCAGACGCGUGUGGAACAGCCGCUAGUGCAGAUCUUGGUGGUAGUAGCAAGUAUUCAAGCGAGAUCCUUGAAGGGCGAAGUGGGGAAGGGUUUCACGCGAACAUUGAUUGGGCGUGAGUGAGUCGUUCCUAAGCCGAGUGGCAAUUGCUAAUUAACGGCGAAAGGGAAGCGGGUUGACAUUCCCGCACACGGAUGUGGAGGCGGCGACGCAUUAUUGGGGCGAACACGCUGGCGGUGGCGCUGGGCAGAGUUGUCUUUUCUGUUUGACCGCUUGCGCACGCGGUGUGGAAUCCGCUUGUCGGGAGAAACACGCGUGUACGGGCAGAGCGCUGGGGCUUUUCCAGCGUCCAGCUCGCCACCGACGGCCCUUGAAACUUUGCCUGCUG
rnacentral:rRNA from 1 species